CGCGGGAUAGAGCAGUUGGUAGCUUGCUAGGCUCAUAACCUAGAGGUCGGAGGUUCAAGUCCUUCUCCCGCAA
rnacentral:tRNA from 1 species